UACGUAGGGUGCAAGCGUUGUCCGGAUUUAUUGGGCGUAAAGAGCUCGUAGGCGGCUUGGUAAGUCAGGUGUGAAACCUCCAGGCUCAACCUGGAGACGCCACUUGAUACUGCCAUAGCUAGAGUCCGGUAGGGGAGCGUGGAAUUUCUGGUGUAGCGGUGAAAUGCGCAGAUAUCAGAAGGAACACCAGCGGCGAAGGCGGCGCUCUGGGCCGGAACUGACGCUGAGGAGCGAAAGCGUGGGUAGCAAACAGG
rnacentral:rRNA from 1 species